GAAAUGCGAUAAUUAAUGUGAAUUGCAGAAUUCAGUGAAUCAUCGAGUCUUUGAACGCACAUUGCGCCCCCUGGUAUUCCGGGGGGCAUGCCUGUCCGAGCGUCAUUGCUGCCCUCAAGCACGGCUUGUGUGUUGGGCUUCCGUCCCUGGCAACGGGGACGGGCCCAAAUGGCAGUGGCGGCACCAUGUCUGGUCCUCGAGCGUAUGGGGCUUUGUCACCCGCUCCCGUAGGUCCAGCUGGCAGCUAGCCUCGCAACCAAUCUUUUUAACCAGGUUGACCUCGGAUCAGGUAGGGAUACCCGCUGAACUUAAGC
rnacentral:misc_RNA from 1 species